rnacentral:rRNA from 1 species
CCUACGGGAGGCAGCAGUGGGGAAUAUUGGGCAAUGGGCGGAAGCCUGAUCCAGCAACGCCGCGUGAGUGAAGAAGGAUUUCGGGUUGUAAAGUUCUUUUGACAGGGAAGAGCAGAAGACGGUACCUGUCGAAUAGCACACGGCUAAAUAAGGGCCAGAGGCCGGGGUAAUACGUAGGUUGAAAGUGUUGUCCGGAUUUACUGGGUGUAAGGGGCGUGUCGCCGGGCUGACAAGUCAGGUGUGAAAGCCGGCGGCUGAACCCCCGAACUGCAUUUGAAACUGGUGGUCUGGAGUAUCGGAGAGGCAGGCGGAAUUCCUAGUGUAGCGGUGAAAUGCGUAGAUAUUAGGAGGAACACCAGUGGCGAAGGCGGCCUGCUGGACGACAACUGACGGUGAGGCUCGAAAGCGUGGGGAGCAAACAGGAUUAGAUACCCGAGUAGUC